AGCUCCAAUAGCGUAUAUUUAAGUUGUUGCAGUUAAAAAGCUCGUAGUCGGACUUUGGCUGAGAACGGUCGGUCCGCCGUUAGGUGUGCACUGACUGGUCUCAGCUUCCUGGUGAGGACGCGCUCCUCACGGACGCGGAGUCACCGUGGUUACUUUGAAAAAAUUAGAGUGUUCAAAGCGGGCUUACGCUUGAAUAUAUUAGCAUGGAAUAACACCAUAGGACUCCUGUCCUAUUUCGUUGGUCUCGGGACGGGAGUAAUGAUUAAGAGGAACAGUUGGGGGCAUUCGUAUUUCAUUGUCAGAGGUGAAAUUCUUGGAUUUAUGAAAGACGAACUUCUGCGAAAGCAUUUGCCAAGGAUGUUUUCAUUG
rnacentral:rRNA from 1 species